AGAAAAUUGUGUAAUUUAGGCUCCACGAAAUAUGAAAUGGGUUAUGAAGAACAUCGUGUACUGUUGCCUACAUGACAAAAAGGCCUUCUGAUUACAAGUGCACCACUAUCCAAAGUAUUAAGCGAAAUCAAGAACAGAAAACAGCAUUGGCAUUAUCAAAACAAUAUUUCACACGAAUUAAGUCGCACGUAAAUGUGCGUAUUUUCUCAAAAUGUCUGUUCAGCAAGUCUAAAACAGUACAUAUACAACGACACAUUUUAAAACAUGGUUAAACAAAGACAACAUUUCUGUAUAUUCAUAACGCUGAAUUGGUCAUUAAGAAGAACAAAAAUGAAAUAUAAACUAUCGCGUCUAUAUGGUUGUUGCAAUGGCUUGUGUGUAGCCUACUGGUUAAAUUUGUGUCUUUUCGCACGAAUUAAGAAGCACAUAAAGUCGUGUCUUUUCUCACGAAUUAAGCCAGCCAAAAAGGCACAAAAACGCACGAAAUUUGCUGAAAUGCAUUAUGUACAUAUUUGCACGAAUUGAUUGUGAGACUGUCAUACCAAAAACACCAUGUAAUUUCUUAUGAUAAUUUAGGAUGUUUGUGCUGAAAUGUUUUUUUUUUUAAUUAUCAUGUGGUGGCUGUGUUUACUCCGUCUGUUCUAAAAUGUGAUUAGUUAGGCCGGUUAGCCACCCUUACUUACAUCAUUCAAGAAAAUCGAAAUGCAUAUUCCCAUGAAACGGAUUGGGAUCAAAUGGUUGGCAUGCAUGCAGCAUGGACGUUUCACCUGUGCAACUUGAAGAAUGAUCAUUAUCAUUGACAGUGAUGAUGGCCUAAUUUAUAAUAAGGUAGGCCUAAUUUGGUGUUUUAUUAUUUAAAAAAUAUAACAUUUUCCUUUAGCCACUUACAGUAGGUAUAGGCAAUCAUGCCGUUUGGAUGAUGCGUUGUAUGUAGCCUACAUUCUAGAAUUAUUUUAUACAAUAGGCUUCAUGAUGGUAUGUGUGGUCAACUGAUAAUUCCAACACCGUUUUGAUUGGACAGCUGCUUUGAGACAAGGAAGUCAGCUUGAUAAAUCAAGAAAUCAAUGUCAGAUUUUUGUUUUCACUGGAUCUGCGUUUGGAUAUUUGGUUACAAUUAGGCUGGGAAAUGUUCUCAUGAUCAUUAGUCUAGUAAUUGAAAGCAACGCAGAUCUUCUAUAAGCACACACAUUAGGCCUACUGUACAGACUACCCGAUGAGCUUCCCUGAUGUUUUCCUGAACUUUCCAAUACCUUACUGAUGCAUUUCAGUUAUUUAGCCUACUGAUGCGAAUACACAUUUUUACACUUUUCUCAUAGGCUAGUCAUUUGACAUAUUUUUUACUGUUUAGAAAUGUCAUAAGGCCUACAUCGUCUCAACAACAAUAUAGCUGAAAACACUAUUGGCUUCAUUGAUUUACUGAGGCUACUUGCUGAUAGAUUAUUUAAAAUAUUAUUGUAACAGUAGACCUACCUACACAAUAACCACAUAUGGUGUUAUGUUCUGUUAAUUACUGAUGUCCUCUUUAAGGAUGGAGCACCCUUGGUCAUGCGCAGUGUUGUUCUAUGUUAAUCUGUACUAACUCGUUUUAGUAAAUGUGAAGCUCCAGUGCAAUUUCUUGUAUUCAGAGUCUUUCUUAUUAUAUAAAUAAGUAAUAAGAGCUACAACACUACAAUGGCGAGGCGGAUGAUUACCUGCAGUGUGCAUCACGAAUGCAGAUGGAGCUUGUAGGAAGAGAGGAAGAUUUUGACCCUGUAGCACAACAGCUAGCAAGCAGUGACGUGGAGCCGGAGAGAGCCUUGCAUCACGCACUCCUGCCAUCCAUCACGCACACCUGCCUUCCCUCGUCACGCGCAUCAGCGAUAUUGGACUCACCUGGACUCACUCAUCACCUGUUUAUUUCCUCCCCUAUAUUAGUCAGUUCCCUGCUGUGUUCCCCACUGCUGCAUUGAUUGUGUUUUUGUCUUUGUUUUCUGUUUGCUAACGCUGUUCCUAUCUUGUUCAAUGUCCGUUGUUUAUUAAAUGUAACUCACCAUA
ensembl:lncRNA